UGGCGCCUCUCACCAGGUGUGUCAAACCACCAGGGACAGACCUACACAAGGGCACUCAUUUCUCAGGAUGCUGACCUAAGGUCACACAGGAGCUGAGCAGAUGAAGCAACGAGCGGCAGCAGGAUAGAGGUUACAAGAUCUCACUCCUGUCUCACAGCAUGAUUGAGAGUUGCGCCACAGUCACACUCAAGCAUUCACAAAACCAUUUAAACCUCUCAAGAUUUUCAAAACAAGCUAUUGAUGUUUGUACCUUCCAAUACAGGCAGAAAAUACCCACCUAUAAAAGAGAGAAAGGAAGGGGAGUUGUAGAAAGUUUUGCCCAGUUGCUGAGGGAGCUAUGCACUGUGUAGAAAUAUGUCAGAAUUUUUAAACGGUCUCUAGCAUUUCUGACACCUUGUUAACAAAUUUAAAGUGAGACCCAAUAGUCAACAAAAGUUGAGAAGGGAAAAAAAAGC